rnacentral:tRNA from 1 species
UCCCUGGUGGCCUAGUGGUUAAGGAUUCAGCAUUGUCACUGCUGUGACUUGGGUUAGAUCCCUGGUCUGGGAC